rnacentral:tRNA from 1 species
CAGGAGAUAGUUUAAUGAAAAUAUUAAUUUUGGAGAUUAAUGAUAGAGAGAAGUUUUUUCUUCUGA